rnacentral:misc_RNA from 1 species
GAUGAAGAACGUAGCGAAAUGCGAUAAGUAAUGUGAAUUGCAGAAUUCAGUGAAUCAUCGAAUCUUUGAACGCACAUUGCGCCCGCCAGUAUUCUGGCGGGCAUGCCUGUCUGAGCGUCAUUUCAACCCUCAUGCCCCUAGGGCGUGGUGUUGGGGAUCGGCCAAAGCCCGCGAGGGACGGCUGGCCCCUAAAUCUAGUGGCGGACCCGUCGUGGCCUCCUCUGCGAAGUAGUGAUAUUCCGCAUCGGAGAGCGAUGAGCCCCUGCCGUUAAACCCCCAACUUUCCAAGGUUGACCUCAGAUCAGGUAGGAAUACCCGCUGAACUUAAGCAUAUCAAUAAGCGGAGGA